rnacentral:rRNA from 1 species
UGAUCCUGGCUCAGGAUAAACGCUGGCGGCGCACAUAAGACAUGCAAGUCGAACGAACUUAAUUCAUUCUUUUAGAUUGGAAGCGGUUAGUGGCGGACUGGUGAGUAACGCGUGAGCAACCUGCCUAUUAGAGGGGAAUAACAGUGAGAAAUCAUUGCUAAUACCGCAUAUGCUUACACUAUUGCAUGACAGAGUAAGGAAAGGAGCAAUCCGCUAAUAGAUGGGCUCGCGUCUGAUUAGCUAGUUGGUGGGGUAGAAGCCUACCAAGGCGACGAUCAGUAGCCGGACUGAGAGGUUGAACGGCCACAUUGGGACUGAGAUACGGCCCAGACUCCUACGGGAGGCAGCAGUCGGGAAUAUUGCGCAAUGGAGGGAACUCUGACGCAGUGACGCCGCGUAUAGGAAGAAGGUUUUCGGAUUGUAAACUAUUGUCGUGAGGGAAGAAGAUGACAGUACCUCAGGAGGAAGCUCCGGCUAACUAUGUGCCAGCAGCCGCGGUAAUACAUAGGGAGCAAGCGUUAUCCGGAAUUAUUGGGUGUAAAGGGUGCGUAGACGGGAAAUUAAGUUAGUUGUGAAAUCCCUUGGCUUAACUGA